rnacentral:lncRNA from 1 species
GUGGCUGUGGUAACCGAGUUACUAAGUAACCAAACAUUGAGUAAAAGGAAGAACUCCCAGGGAAACCAAAUAGAAUCCUUCUCACUAAAGAAUCUCCUUUCUGAUUUGCCUUGAUCCUCUCUCAUCAAGUGUGGAAUUCUGUUUUAGUAAGAAAGACUGUCCUCGGAAGCAAAAUAUUUCCCAGAAGAAAUAACUGCCCUACCUUAAUCAGACUACCUCUCAGCUCCCAUUGGCCACAUGUCCUUUCUGCAAGGGAGUCUGGGAAAACAAGCACUUGGUAUUUUCAGCCUCUGUUGUGAAAGGGAGUUUUGUCUAACAAGAAAGAAAAGAGUCAUUUCAGUGAAUCUCUACGACGGGAAGAGGCCAAUGCAGGUGCUUUCCUUAUGAUAUUCACAUAAGGUAAGAAAAGCAUUGGUAUCUUUGACAAGGUACUUAGACAAGACAAGAAAAUAAGGAGUUCCAUGAUU